UGUUACACCUCUACCUGACUCAGAAGU
rnacentral:piRNA from 1 species